rnacentral:piRNA from 1 species
UCGGAUUCUAACUGCUGCCAUCAACUGC